UGGAGAAAGCCUCUGGUGUCAAACUAGUGACUCAGAAUUGGUUGUGUGUUAUUUUUCUUAUUUCCAAGAGCACCGACUACAGAAACCUCCGAAAAUGAAGUAUGUAGGUGGUAGGUGGUUGACAAUUUGUGAGAACUCAAGGGGAAAUGGCUUGUCUGCUGAGUUCUGUCUGCCUGCUGCUUCCGUCUUCUCACAACUCACUUGAUUUUUUCUAUCCAGGAGAAGUUCCUAAUCCUCUCUGUCUGUCUAUUUCUCAUUCCAUCGCUAUCCUCAGGCAAUGGUUGGUUUCUUUUUAUUAGGAACCUUUAUUUUGUACUGUGUGGGACAGAUACAAAUUCAAGGGAUCCCCCAAAUAUGUGUGUCCCAGCCUUCAUGUUCAGCCUGCCUGAGGAGCCCUGGAUGUGCUUGGUGCAAACACAAGGACUUCCUGAAGUCUGGGGAGUCCACUGAGAGGAGGUGUGACACUGCUGAGUCUCUGAGGACCAGAGGCUGUGAGCAGACAGACAUCAUCAACCCCCAAUCAGAACUGGUCUUCCUAAAGAACAAUGAGCUCAGCAGCGACCCAGACAAUGUGGUCCAGCUUAAGCCACAAAACCUCCUCUUCAAACUCAGAGUCGGAGUCCCUCAGACCUUCAGUGUGUCAUUCAAGAGAGCCGAGGGCUACCCCAUAGACCUGUACUACCUAAUGGACCUGUCCUUCUCCAUGAGGGACGACCUGGACACCAUCAAGAAUCUGGGCCAGGAAAUCCUCUCUACGCUAAAAAACGUCACCAAUAAGGUCCGCAUAGGCUUUGGCUCGUUUGUGGACAAGGUGGCUCUGCCAUAUGUCAGCCAGGUUAAGGACAAGAAGAACAACCCCUGUCCCAGCCGCCUGUACACCUGUCAACCUGCCUUCAGCUUCCAGAACAUUCUGGGACUAACCCAAGACGUGGCCGAGUUCAAGACCAGGGUCAGCAACCAGAUCAUCUCUGGAAACCUGGACUCCCCCGAGUCCGGCUUUGACGCCAUCAUGCAGGCAGCUGUCUGCCAGGGUGUGAUUGGUUGGAACAAUGUCACCCGGAUCCUGGUUUACACGUCAGAUGACACCUUCCACAUUGCCGGGGACGGCAGGCUGGCUGGGAUAUUCGAACCUAAUGAUGGGAAGUGUCAUCUCAAUGGCAGCGGCUUCUACGAUGGCACUAAAUAUGACUACCCAUCGGUUGGCCAGCUCGCCAGGGUCCUGGCAGCCAAUAACAUCCAGCUCAUCUUUGCUGUCACCGAGGACAGUGUUGCUGCCUACAAGGCAUUGAGUAAACUAAUCCCUCAGUCAGUGCUGGGAGUCCUGAAGAACGACUCCAGCAACGUGGUCCAGCUCAUCUUAGAGGCCUACAGUAACCUGUCCUCCACUAUCUUAUUGGAGCACCAUGGAGCCCCCUCAGGUCUGGACGUGACCUACAGAUCCCACUGCACCCCUGCAGAAGGGGACAACACCCCGUGGCAGAGGAGGGGCGAGUGCAUGAACGUCAAGCUCAACCAGCAGGUUGACUUCACAGUGAGUCUGAAUAUUUCAAUGUCUGAAGGAGAAUGUCUGAAGGAGAAGAAGCAGUUUUUCCUCAAACUGCAGGGCAUCAGCGAGACCCUGAAGGUCUCCGUGGAAACCCUGUGUGACUGUGACUGCCAUGACAGAGAACAGCAGUCCACACACUGCAAUGAAAAGGGAACGCUCAACUGCGGAAUCUGCAGCUGUGACGAGGAUCACCUGGGUCAAAGGUGUGAGUGUGAGCAGCCUAAGGACAUGAUCUCUGCCGACUCUAUGGACACAACAUGUCACCAAGACAGCUCCCUGCUGCUAUGUAGUGGGCACGGGGGCUGUGAGUGUGGCAUAUGUGUGUGCCAGGGCACCCACCGUGGUGAUUUCUGCCAAUGUGAUGACAACAGCUGUGACCGCCACAACAACAUGCUCUGCAGUGGUAAUGGGCAGUGUGACUGUGGAACAUGUAAGUGUCAUGCCAACUACACAGGCUCUGCGUGUGACUGUUCCACCCUCACCGACCAGUGCAGGACUGCUGGGAAGCUGUGCAAUGGCCAGGGAACAUGCCAGUGUAACCAGUGCCAGUGCAACAAUGACUUCUUUGGCAUGAGCUGCUCAAAGAUUGCUAAUGCAUGCGCAAAAUUCCUGGCCUGUGUGACGUGUGAAUUGGCCAAUAAGGAAAGUGACGGACUAAAGAGUAACUGUAGCCGACCAUGUGGCUCAGUCAAGCCCACUUGGGUUGAGGGACCCCAGGAGUUCCCCUGCAGAGAAGACACCAUCUCCUACAAAGUGGAGCUGUUCCCUGACGGCAACAUCCUGGUCCUCUACGCAGAUCUGCCCCGCUCUGUUGACAAGACUUAUGUGAUCAUUGGCAGCUCGGUGUCCAGCAUCAUCUUCAUUGGGAUCGCAGUGAUCCUCAUCAGCUGGCUGAUGCUGGAGUUCCACUACCGGAGAGAGUACGCCAGCUUCCUCAAAGCAACGGAGACUGUAGUCUGGAAAAAUAUCGAAAAUCCUUUGUUCCAGGACGCCACAACCAUAGUUAUGAACCCCAUACACAUUCAAGAGGACUGAUCCAAACCCAUUCAACUCUGAAGCCAACCAACACUUUACUUCAGGAAAAUCUGUUACAUACAAAGUAAUUUAUUGUCAAUGGAGCAGUCCGCAACGCUAUGUUGGGGGUGCUGCACUAAGCUGUGCAGCACCCUAUCAGCUGGCUGGUGCAGGAGAUGGCUAAUAUUCAGAAGGAGCAGAAGGCUGUGAGCUGUGUGUCAGAGAAGGCCAAGUGGUGGGACAGGAGGAGGGCCCUGAACACACAGAUGGAGACUCUCUCACUCUCCUCAGAGGCUGCUGGAGGAGAUGGAGGGGUUGCUGGGCUGCUGGCAGGGGCACCUCCUACCCCUGACCUGUGACCCUGAGCUGUCUGUCCAGGUCAAACGCCUUCAGAAGACCCUCACUGCCUGGGGGGCACUGGCCUCAGAGGAAAUGCUCAAGGCUGUGCUGUCUGCCUCUCCCCUGCCCUCCCAGUCCCAGCUGCAGUGGUUAGCCCAGGGAGUGUUUGGACCUUCUGCAGACAACUGCGGCUGUACUGGCAGAGAGGCCCGACCCCACAAUGACACGUGGUGCUCAUCUAGGACAGGAUGGGAGUCUCUCACACUUGCACCCUCCACUCAAAUCGACUCUAAUGUGCAAGAUCAACCUACAUUGCGGAACAAUGCACUUUCUUUGUGUAGAGGAGAGUUGAGGAAAGUCUACCGUGACAUGAACACAUUGCCUAUGAGUGUGACUGCUGUGAUAACGCCCAGUGAAAUGUUUGUCUUGUCCUAUCUUGCAGUACCUCCAGAAGCUGCCAUGGGAGAGCAUCUCCUGCCUCAGGCCUCGCUCUGUCACCCACAUGCCCUCUCUACACUCACUGCUUGGCCACAGUGCUCUAAGAGAGUCUGACCGGGAAUCUCCUGAAUGGAGGUGUGGACCCCAAGCAGGUGUUCUACGUGCUCAACCUUGAUGACAACUUGUGGUUCACCAGAUCUACUGCAGGAGGCUGUGACUGCCAAAGACCUCUACAUGCUAAGGAGAAGUGUAUGACAGCAGAGAUGUCAAUAGUUUGCCUUACUACAUACACACACUGUCAAAUGUUGUUUAACAUGAAGCUUGACUUUCUCUCAUGACUUGUAUCAUGCUAGAUGUUAGAUGCUUUGAAUUGGUGUCAGAAUUCAACCGUUCUUACUUAAAGCUGGAAUCCUUAAUGGUGAAACUGCUACAACAACAAAGAAGUUACUGCAAACACCAAACACUGUUUUUUCCCCCUCGGACAUCAUUGCACACACGAUAGAAGAGCAGAAUAUGUAGUGAUUAAGGCAGCCCCCCGCACCUCUCUGAUUCAGAGGUGUUUGGUUAAAUGCGAAAGACACAUUUCAGUUGAAUACAUUCAGUUGGACAACUGACUAGGUUCCCUUUUUUAUUUCUCAUAGAUUAACUUGCCUGUUUGUGUGUGAUUUUGCCUGUCUGUGUGUGAUUUUGACAUGUAGCCCAUUGGUUCUGGGGAGCCUGUGGGAUGUGAUGGACUGAGACAUUUAGAGCUUCAACAAGGCUCUGCUGGAGUCCUGGCUGUCUGCAGGUCCCAGGGCUCCACUCCUGGACCACAUUUGGCAGCAAGUAGCCUAGUGGUUAGAGUGUUGGACCAGUAACUGAAAGAUUGCUAGAUCGAAUCCCUGACCUGACAAGGUAAAAAUCUGUUGUUCUGCCCCGAACAAGGCAGUUAACCCACUGUUCCUAGGCCAUCAUUGUAAAUAAGAAUUUGUUCUUCACUGAUUUGCCUAGUUAAAUAAAAACAUGGCCCUGUCCCGCCAGGCCUCAAGCACCCAUGGUCUAUGGACUCCCCAUCUACCUGUGAAAGGACAUCCCCAAACACACAAACUUGAAUGUAUUUAGUAACUCCACUGAUCCGAAGCCACUGAUCCCCAAAACACGAAUUGGAGGAUGUGAUUUUAGACUUGCUUGUGUGUAUUAUCUGCUAAGGCUGCCUUCUUAAAUAUAAACAAUGUUUUAUCCUUUGAUUUUCCUUUUUGAAUGUUAGUGAAAUGUGUACAUAAAUGUAUAAAUAAAUGCUUGACAAUAA